UACGGGGGGGGGCAAGCGUUGUUCGGAAUUACUGGGCGUAAAGGGUUCGUAGGUGGCCAACUCAGUCAGACGUGAAAUCCCUCAGCUCAACUGAGGAAGUGCGCCCGAAACUGCAGAGCUUGAGUGCCGGAGAGGGUGGCGGAAUUCCCCAAGUAGAGGUGAAAUUCGUAGAUAUGGGGAGGAACACCGGUGGCGAAGGCGGCAUCCUGGACCGGCAUUGACGCUGAGGCGCGAAAGCCAGGGGAGCAAACGGG
rnacentral:rRNA from 1 species